rnacentral:lncRNA from 10 species
CUUUGUGUGACUAGACCCAGCAAGCAUCUACUCCCACCCACCGAGGCCCUGCAUCUGAAGCAGAUAGGAAUAAAGACCUGAAACAAAAGAGAAACUCCAAAAGAUCAGCUAAACAGCAGCAGGGGCAUUUCACAAUAAGCAAUUGACGGCGCUACCAACAAGAAAGUAAACACAGGAGCCCUGAACAAGCCUGUCACUCACCUUGACCUGCUGGGUAUUUAGAACACACUCUGUCGGCCUGACACGGUGGCUCAUACCUGUAAUCCCAGCACUUUGGGAGGCCAAGCCAGGCGGAUCACAAUGUCAAGAGAUCAAGACCAUCCUGGC